ACUGAAUCAGAAUGCCGCCUCACCGUGUCCGUAGCUUGAAUCGGAUGGUUGGGCAUUCUCGGGGAAGAGCCCCUACUAACCAAGCUGGUGAGGCAUCGCAUAGCUCAGGACCCCAAGGUCAAUCAACUCCAGAAACUGCCGCCGGAAAUCAAAUCCGGGUGCUCGAACUGAUUGAGGAGGUUGUUGGGUUAGUACGCCAACAGAGGCAACAACCUCAGCAACCAAUCCAGCAAGUCGUUGAUCCUCCGGAGCAAAGGAGUAUAGCUGAAUUCAAGAGAAUGG
rnacentral:lncRNA from 1 species